UCCAACUCAGUCCUGUCCUCAUAGCUUUAGAAACAAAUCCUGAAGUUGUGAAGGCAGCAGGUCACACUGAGUCACACAUAUCUGGAGGUCCAGAUGCUCUAAUAGAAGGAGCCAAGAAGGAAGAGCGGAGACAGGAGCCUAACCUCUUAGGUUAUUUCCUGGCCUCCCUUCUGUGACCUAUGACCGAGACUGACCUUUAGCUGGAGAAUGUGACAUUUUGUUCUCCUCUAGCUGACAUGUGAUGCUCUCAUUAUUCAAAGGCAACCAUCUCUGGAACAGUUCCAACCAGAGCAGAAGAUGGAAGACAGAAGUUUAGAUUGCUUCACCAAGAUGUAAAUGUUGUCAUCUAUUUGGAGAUUUCAUAACUUUACAAAGAAAGAUGCUGAGGUCUCACUGGGGUCACCAGUGGUCCUCUUAAUUGCAGCAACUCUUCAUUUCAGCAAAAACAUUGGGCCUCUUAAUGCAGGUUCAGAUACGGUUCCUCUUUCUGAAGCCAUCAUUUUUUCUCCUCCUCCUGAUUCUUGAAAAACAGUAGUUUCGCCAUUAUAGUGUUUUGUUAUUUUUUAGUAUAGUUGAAAAAUAAAAUAACAUCUUGGU